rnacentral:misc_RNA from 1 species
CCGAGUUAGGGUCUUCUCAGGCCCGACCUCCCAACCCAAUGUUUAUUCAACCAUUGUUGCUUCGGCGGACCCGUCCUGUGGGACCGCCGGGGGUCUUUGUGCCCUCGGCCCGCGUCCGCCGGUGGCCUCGAUAAAUUCUGUAUUAAUCGUGUCUAUUGUCUAAGUACACAAGUCUUUAAUUAAAAAGCA